AAUAGGAUACCCCGGUAGUCCACGCCGUAAACGAUGAGUGCUAAGUGUUGGGGGGUUUCCGCCCCUCAGUGCUGCAGCUAACGCAUUAAGCACUCCGCCUGGGGAGUACGGCCGCAAGGCUGAAACUCAAAGGAAUUGACGGGGGCCCGCACAAGCGGUGGAGCAUGUGGUUUAAUUCGAAGCAACGCGAAGAACCUUACCAGGUCUUGACAUCCCGCUGCCCGGUAUAGAGAUAUAUCUUUCCCUUCGGGGACAGCGGUUGACAGGUGGUGCAUGGUUGUCGUCAGCUCGUGUCGUGAGAUGUUGGGUUAAGUCCCGCAACGAGCGCAACCCUUGAUCUUAGUUGCCAGUCAUUUAGUUGGGCACUCUAAGGUGACUGCCGGUGACAAACCGGAGGAAGGUGGGGAUGACGUCAAAUCAUCAUGCCCCUUAUGACCUGGGCUACACACGUGCUACAAUGGAUGGUACAAAGGGCUGCAAGACCGCGAGGUUUAGCCAAUCCCAUAAAACCAUUCUCAGUUCGGAUUGCAGGCU
rnacentral:rRNA from 1 species